rnacentral:rRNA from 1 species
CGCAUCUGUGCAUGCAGCAUAUCAAUAAGCGGAGGAAAAGAAACUAACAAGGAUUCCCUCAGUAACGGCGAGUGAAGCGGGAAGAGCUCAAAUUUGAAAUCUUGAAAGGUCACCUUUCACGAAUUGUAGUUUAAAGAAGUGUUUUCUGUUACGAUCGUAAUAUAAGUUCUUUGGAAUAGGACAUCACAGAGGGUGAGAAUCCCGUCUAUGAUUGCGAUUUGUAGCUUUGUGAUACACUUUCAAAGAGUCGGGUUGUUUGGGAAUGCAGCCCAAAACGGGAGGUAAAUUUCUUCUAAGGCUAAAUAUUGGCGAGAGACCGAUAGCGAACAAGUACCGUGAGGGAAAGAUGAAAAAACUUUGAAAAGAGAGUUAAAUAGUACGUGAAAUUGUCAAAAGGGAAGCGUUUGACACCAGUGUUGUUUUCUCGAAAAUCAAUUAAAAAUGGCUCGAUUUUGUAUUGUUGAGACCUUAAAAGCUCACUGUACAUUUUUCGUGUCUUUUUUAAUGCACUUUUCGUUUAACAAGUCAACAUCAGUUUCUUUUGUUGUAAAAGGGUCAUUGGAAGGUGGCUUUCUUUUCGGAGAAAGUGUUUAUAGCCUUUGGCCUCUGCAAUCGGAAGAGACUGAGGUCUGCAGCGUAGACUCUUCGGGGUUAGAUACAUUUGUGCUAAGUUAUAGCUUUUUAUAGACAACUUGUUGACUAUAAUUAGUCUUGUAGCUUACUCGCUUAUGCUAUUUUACCUACGCUUAGGAUGUUGACGAUCAGCUGAGCGCG